CUCACUCACAGUUACCACAGAGGCAGUAUAGACAUACUUAUAAUACACCACUUCGCCUCUCCGCUGAUUAUUCUCUGUUCACUCAGGCAACUGAACAGGCGCAGAUGUUGUCUCUCACUGUUCCGAAACCUGAUGUACAGGUAUGAGUACCUGUGGAGUGUUAAACUCAUCUUGCUAAGCUCUUAUACAUUUGCUUAGCUAACCAGUAAGCUUGGCAUGUUUUUGCUUGCAUAUACAUGUAUUUCACGCUUAACUACACGGAGGAACGGCUGACCCAUCAUGAGAGGCACUAGCGGUUAAACGAACCAUACUACUUACACCAGCCGCCACAAAAUGCUCACGUAUCUCAGACAACAUGACAGUAAGCGUUUGUGACUAAAUGCCCACUAACUAUACCCUAUACACAAUCUGAUAGAAUGUUCCUGUUAUGAAUCUGUUAAUAUAUAAAAAUGUGCUCAUUACUCUAUUGCUCCUAAUGUAAUGCUAGACAAAAUG